UUUCCUCGCAAGGGGAAACUGAGUGGCGAACGGGUGAGUAACGCGUGGGUGACCUACCUUCGAGUGGGGGAUAACGUCCCGAAAGGGACGCUAAUACCGCAUGACAUCCUGUCCUUGAACGGAUGGAGAUCAAAGCUGGGGAUCGUAAGACCCGGCGCUUGAUGAGGGGCCCGCGUCCGAUUAGCUAGUUGGUGGGGUAACGGCUCACCAAGGCGACGAUCGGUAUCCGGCCUGAGAGGGCGGACGGACACACUGGGACUGAGACACGGCCCAGACUCCUACGGGAGGCAGCAGUGGGGAAUUGUUCGCAAUGGGCGCAAGCCUGACGACGCAAUGCCGCGUGGAGGAUGAAGGUCUUCGGAUUGUAAACUCCUGUUGCCAGGGACGAAUGGCUCCGACCUAAUACGUCGGAGAAUGACGGUACCUGGUGAGGAAGCCCCGGCUAACUCUGUGCCAGCAGCCGCGGUAAUACAGAGGGGGCAAGCGUUGUUCGGAAUUACUGGGCGUAAAGGGCGCGUAGGCGGCCUCUUAAGUCGAACGUGAAAUCCCCGGGCUCAACCCGGGAACUGCGUCCGAUACUGGGGGGCUUGAAUCCGGGAGAGGGAUGUGGAAUUCCAGGUGUAGCGGUGAAAUGCGUAGAUAUCUGGAGGAACACCGGUGGCGAAGGCGGCAUCCUGGACCGGUAUUGACGCUGAGGCGCGAAAGCCAGGGGAGCAAACGGGAUUAGAUACCCCGGUAGUCCUGGCCCUAAACGAUGAAUGCUUGGUGUGGCGGGUAUCGAUCCCUGCCGUGCCGAAGCU
rnacentral:rRNA from 1 species